rnacentral:rRNA from 1 species
UACGUAGGCAGCGAGCGUUGUUCGGAUUUACUGGGCGUAAAGGGCGCGUAGGCGGCCCUCCUUGUCGCGUGUGAAAGCCCCGGGCUCAACCUGGGAAUUGCGCGCGAAACGGGCGGGCUUGAGUUCGGGAGAGGAGCGUGGAAUUCCCAGUGUAGAGGUGAAAUUCGUAGAUAUUGGGAAGAACACCGGUGGCGAAGGCGGCGCUCUGGACCGAGACUGACGCUGAGGCGCGAAAGCGUGGGGAGCAAACAGG